rnacentral:lncRNA from 1 species
CAAAGAGUCACUUUGAAUGAGUCAAUUUUCUGAUUCUUGACAAUGAAUCAAAGGAAUUCAAAAAACAUUUCCUUCCAAAACUUGAAAGAACCAGAAACAUUUUCCUUUCAAAUUCUCAAAGAAACCAAAUUUGCUUCAUUUCGUAUCUUUGGGCUUGAAACCAAGAGUUGAGGUUUGAAACCAAAAAGCUGUUAUUUAGCCAAGAACUAUUAAAACAGAAUACUUUUCGUCCAAAAAGAAAAUUUCAAGAACCAAGCCAAAUUUUGUUCCUCAAGUUCAAAAACGUAGAAUCUUAAAUCUGAUUUUUUUAGGUCUAAGUUCAAUCCACGAAGGUUUCCAACGGGAUAAUUAUACAGAGUUGUUCCUACUCCAGGUAUGUUAAGGCUAAUAUUUUCCUUCAUUUUUGCAUGAUAUCGUAACUACACAAGUUUGAUAACGAUGCAUAAAGAAAAAUUCAUAUCCCGAAAUUUACGUAUAUUUUGCUAGUUUCGCAAAUUACAUAUAUUUUCCUAGUUUUGUAAGUUACCAUAUUCUUCUUAUCGGGACUGCAUAUUCAGUUGAGUAUUUCCUUCUUCUGGUCAAAAGAGCAGAGAGUUCGCAUAUAUACAGUAUUAAAAGUAUUUUCAUUACCUUCGAGAAGGCCUCUAUUGGGCAACCUCUGAUCAGAUGGUAAGUUAUAUACCGAGCCUGCUGUGGCCGAGCGCCUAUGAGCGAGCCCAGUUGGUCGAGAUACAGAGCCUAGUAUGGCCGAGCGCUUAUGAGCGAGCCUACUAUGGCAGAGCGGAUAUAUAUGUAUACCGAGCCUUAUAGGGUCGGACAGCUAUUUUACUCACUAUAUUAAGAGAGUUGAGUCAUUAUCAGCAGAUGAGCAUAUCUUCAUAUUUUCUUGACUCCUAGUUGUUUUCAGUUAUUAUAUUAUCAGUUCAGUUUCAGCUUCAGUAUAUUGCCUUACAUACUCGGUACAUUAUUUCAUACUGACGUCCCUUUCUGGGGGUGCUGCAUUUCAUGUAUGUAGGUUCAGACAGACAGACGGGUAGACCUCCUCAGUAGGUGUUGCCCGAGUUCAGCUUUAAUGGUAAGCUCCCCUUAUGUCGAAGUUGCCGGUUCUAGCAGUGUGGUAUAUAUCUGGUGUAUAUAGGUCGAUAGGUUAUGGGUAGGUCGGGGCCCUGUUCCGAUCACAGUACAUCUAUCAUUAGAGGCUUGUAGACAUAUCCUAUCGGUUAGUGCAGUAUGUUGGGCUUGUAGGCCCUGUACGUAUAUUUUGUUGGCUUUUUAGUUGUAGUAAUUAUGACGGCCUUGCCUGCCCAGCUUUAUGUUGAUGUUUAGUCAGCGUUAGUCUCUAUUCAUUUUUAUAUUUUGAAUCGCACAUUAUCUUGCAAUGUGGCCCAUGGCUAAAAUAUGACAUUACAUGUUCAGAGUCUCUUAGUCGCUAGUGGUAUGCAAGGAUAGGUGAGGCACUGGAUGCCGGUCUCGCCCCUAGGCUUGGGGCGUGACAAAAGUGGUAUCAGAGUUGUUCUGCCCUAGGGAGUCUACAAGCCGUGUCUAGUAGGGUCUUGAUUAUAGAUGUGUGGUGCACCACAUUAUAUAAGUAGGGGACUACAAGGCAUUUAGGAGUUGGUUACCCUUCUUUUAAAUCUAAAUCGUGAUGUAGCACUUUAUAGGAAAUUUGAGUUAAACUUACGUGUUGACAUUGUUGAUACCCAGUUUUUCCCUAGAUAAUUUUUAAUAUGCAA